GGCACUGCAGGCUGGCACAGCUGCCCCAGCCCCUGGUCCAAGGCUCGGGAUCAGGCUCUGGGCUCUCCACAGGAAAUUUAGGAUCAAUCCAGCUCCUCCUCGGAGCUCCAGCACUGCUGGAAUGCCUGGCUGGGGCUGUGCCCCUGCCAGGACACCCGGAGGUACAGCCUGGGCUGUCUGCUCUGCUGCGGCAUCGCAGGGACAGCAGCGGGGAGGGUUCAUUACAAUCCCUGCCAGGCUGAAGAGUGUUUUCCUUUUAAAAGCAGUUGGAUGAAACAACAGAUUUUUGGGAUAAACCACGUGGUGAUUUGGAAGGAUGAAGCUGUCCUGCUCUCCCUACACCUGUCCCAUGCCAUGUUUUCACUCCACUGCAGAUUUUUGGG